CUUGGGGUCUGUGCACGUAAUGGAAACUUCAGAACCUUGCAGGGUUCAUGGUUUCUUCUGUCUGCAGCACAGGAAUCGUUUAACAGUGACAAGUGGAUCGAUAAGAUAAUUAAUAAUAUCUCUUCUUCCCUAUUUGGCUAAUUGAGACGAGGGAAGAUUAUAAACGGGUCUACAACAUGAAAAACCAGAAGUCAUUUAAUUUGAAUGCCAGCAUCACCUCCCCAAGGUUAUUGAUAUUUGAUUUAAAGGGGAAUAAAA
rnacentral:lncRNA from 1 species